rnacentral:rRNA from 1 species
AGAGUUUGAUCCUGGCUCAGAUUGAACGCUGGCGGCAGGCCUMACACAUGCAAGUCGAGCGAGAAAGGUCUUCGGACUGAGUACAGCGGCGGACGGGUGAGUAACGCGUAGGAAUCUACCUGGUAGUGGGGGACAACUUGGGGAAACCCAAGCUAAUACCGCAUACGCCCUACGGGGGAAAGCGGGGGAUCUUCGGACCUCGCGCUAUCGGAUGAGCCUGCGUUGGAUUAGCUAGUUGGUGGGGUAAAAGCUCACCAAGGCGACGAUCCAUAGCUGGUCUGAGAGGAUGAUCAGCCACACUGGGACUGAGACACGGCCCAGACUCCUACGGGAGGCAGCAGUGGGGAAUAUUGCGCAAUGGGCGGAAGCCUGACGCAGCCAUGCCGCGUGUGUGAAGAAGGCCCUAGGGUUGUAAAGCACUUUCAAUUGGGAAGAAAGGUUGCGUGUUAAUAGCACGUAGCUGUGACAUUACCUUUAGAAGAAGCACCGGCUAACUCCGUGCCAGCAGCCGCGGUAAUACGGAGGGUGCGAGCGUUAAUCGGAAUUACUGGGCGUAAAGCGCGCGUAGGCGGUUUGUUAAGUCAGCUGUGAAAGCCCUGGGCUCAACCUGGGAACUGCAGUUGAUACUGGCCGACUAGAGUACGAGAGAGGGAGGUAGAAUUCCACGUGUAGCGGUGAAUGCGUAGAUAUGUGGAGGAAUACCGGUGGCGAAGGCGGCCUCCUGG